UACCAGCACCCCGAGUGGUCGGGACGAUUAUUGGGCCUAAAGCAUCCGUAGCCGGCCUUACAAGUCCUCCGUUAAAUCCAGCUGCUUAACAGAUGGGCUGCGGAGGAUACUAUAAGACUAGGAGGCAGGAGAGGCAAAGCGGUACUCAGUGGGGUAGGGGUAAAAAUCCGUUGAUCCAUUGAAGACCACCAGUGGCGAAGGCGGCUUGCCGAAUGCGCUCGACGGUGAGGGAUGAAAGCUGGGGGAGCAAACCGG
rnacentral:rRNA from 1 species